GGUAGUUCUGCAAGUGU
rnacentral:misc_RNA from 1 species